rnacentral:rRNA from 1 species
CUACGGAGGGUGCAAGCGUUAUCCGGAAUCAUUGGGUUUAAAGGGUCCGCAGGCGGAUUAAUAAGUCAGUGGUGAAAUCCUCUCGCUCAACGAGAGAACUGCCAUUGAAACUGUUAGUCUUGAAUUCGGUCGAAGUAGGCGGAAUGUGUCAUGUAGCGGUGAAAUGCAUAGAUAUGACACAGAACACCGAUAGCGAAGGCAGCUUACUAGACCUGGAUUGACGCUCCUGGACGAAAGCGUGGGGAGCGAACAGGAUUAGAAACCCCAGUAGUCC